GGCCAACUAGCUCAGUUGGUUAGCGCAUGGUGCUAAUAAUGCCAAGGUCAUGGGUUCAACCCCCAUGGUGGCCA
rnacentral:tRNA from 1 species